AUUGAACGCUGGCGGCAUGCCUUACACAUGCAAGUCGAACGGCAGCACGGGUACUUGUACCUGGUGGCGAGUGGCGAACGGGUGAGUAAUACAUCGGAACGUACCUUAUCGUGGGGGAUAACGCAGCGAAAGCUGUGCUAAUACCGCAUACGCCCUUAGGGGGAAAGCGGGGGAUCGCAAGACCUCGCGCGAUUAGAGCGGCCGAUGCCUGAUUAGCUUGUUGGUGGGGUAAAAGCCCACCAAGGCGACGAUCAGUAGCUGGUCUGAGAGGACGAUCAGCCACACUGGGACUGAGACACGGCCCAGACUCCUACGGGAGGCAGCAGUGGGGAAUUUUGGACAAUGGGGGAAACCCUGAUCCAGCAAUGCCGCGUGAGUGAAGAAGGCCUUCGGGUUGUAAAGCUCUUUUGUCAGGGAAGAAACACCGGCUCUAACACAGUCCGGGAAUGACGGUACCUGAAGAAUAAGCACCGGCUAACUACGUGCCAGCAGCCGCGGUAAUACGUAGGGUGCAAGCGUUAAUCGGAAUUACUGGGCGUAAAGCGUGCGCAGGCGGUUAUACAAGACAGGCGUGAAAUCCCCGGGCUUAACCUGGGAAUGGCGCCUGUGACUGUAUAGCUAGAGUGUGUCAGAGGGGGGUAGAAUUCCACGUGUAGCAGAGAAAUGCGUAGAUU
rnacentral:rRNA from 1 species